rnacentral:rRNA from 1 species
CAGCAGCCGCGGGAAUACGUAGGGGGCGAGCGUUGUCCGAAGUUACUGGGCGUAAAGGGAGCGUAGGCGGAUCGUUAAGUUGGGGGUGAAAGCCCGGGGCUCAACCUCGGAACUGCCUUCAAUACUGGCGAUCUUGAGUAUGAGAGGGGUGUGUGGAACUCCGAGUGUAGAGGUGAAAUUCGUAGAUAUUCGGAAGAACACCAGUGGCGAAGGCGACACACUGGCUCAUUACUGACGCUGAGGCUCGAAAGCGUGGGGAGCAAACAGGAUUAGAUACCCCUGUAGUCCCUGUCUCUUAUAC